GGUGUCCGGGCCGUGGAAAAUACAGAAGGGUCCAUCAAACCAAAUGACGGAACAUACCAGAGUGUACAGGCAGGGAGUCAACCUGAGAAACAUCCUACAAAGCCAAGAGUACAAAAUCAACUUACAGCUGCCACUGAACUCGACAGUAUCCCGAAACCUAAUAAUAAUGGUCGAAAUAAAGUUGAAGGAAACAAGAAUGAUGAACUCCUAACGAUGGCAAGAGCGCUUAGAAAAGUUCAGGUUGUAGGUUUCGACUCAAGGGGGCCUAAAAAUCAAUGCGCCAUAUCCGACGGCGCAGCAGGCAGAAAUUCGACGAAAUUUGAUACCAUUAUAAACGACACUCACGAAAAAGAAGAAGUUUACCUUGGAGGAAAGUGUUCAGAAAAUUGUGCAAACGAUAUAGUUGACGAAUUCGACGACCUGGAUGAGGUGUCCCUGAUUCCAACGUCGGAUUGUCGUAGAUUGGUGAUCGACAAUCAACACAGUGACGUAGGGUCCUAUGUCGAUUCUAUCUCGAUUUGUGAAGUUACUCACGUUGAAUUUCGACCGCAAGGCCGGGAUGUGCAACCAAUCCCAACCCAAAGUCAAAGGG
rnacentral:sRNA from 1 species